GUUCAAUGUUAAAAAAAGAAAACCCCAAUAUCUUAUCCUUUGUGUGACCAUGCAGGUUCAGGCUGUUGAAGAUACUGAAUACAUCAGCGAGAUAUGCCCUUAUAGCAAGCCACUUGAAAUCAUAGAAAUGGUCAUGAAGAAAUUAUUUUUUAUCUCAUCUCUCAUUUCAAAACCUCCUUCCUUGUGAAUAGCCAACGUAUGUCAUUAUCUAUCAGUGACUGCAAUGUCAUCCUGUUCCAAUGUUCACCAUUUCCUUUGUGGCAUCCUGUGGGAGCUGCUCCCAGAGCUUACACAAAGAAGUGGAUCUGAGCAGUGCAACGGGUGGAGUGUGCUGGACAACAUGAUACUCUUCCCAGAUCUUCCCUACGGAUGAAGGACAAAUUCCUCUUGCUGCUGGGAACGCUCCUGGAAGAUGGCUCUCAGCUGUUAGCCCCUUCAAGAGAUUGCUUUGGCUGAGGAAACUUCCUUGCCCAAAGGACAGCUUACAUCCAACGACCCAUCAAUGAGGGGGUAUGAAGUUUUGUCCCCUCAUCUCAAUUCAGUUAAACUCCGAAGACCUAUCUCCUAGGGCCACACCUCCCUGGGGGACAAGCUGAGGACUUUGUUGGAAUGCAUUGCAGCUCAACUUCUGCCUCUGCCCAAUCUUGCUUCCUUUCUCCCCCUUCAGCAGAUGUUGAUACCAAGCAUAUGCCUUAAUAAACAUCCUGUAUGCUAAUCUCCAUCCCAGAGACUGCUUCUUGGGGAACACUUUCAAAACUGAAUCAAGACCAUCCAGGCCUGUGGCCAACAGCCAACUGAUCUCUUUGAGGGAAGCAGUGAAUAGACUGGUGUUCAGAUGUGCCCUCUUCAGUUCACUGGGAAUUCCUUCCUUGAUGCUCACAGAGGUGGAACUUCACCAAAACGGAUGCCAAUGUGCUCUCCCACUUUACAUCUUGGCUCACAAAAUAAGUCUUGUUCAAAUGAAAAUAGUCUUCAUGUAGAGCAUGGAUUUACAGAGAUAAACAGAAAUCAGGUAGAGCAUAGCUCAGUUAAAAUAAGUCUUGUAGAUUGUGGUUACGAUUACACAACGUUAUAUAUUUAUUUAAUGCCACUGC
ensembl:lncRNA